rnacentral:lncRNA from 1 species
UCUUCAAUAUUGUUUACAACCUAAUCAAUCUACAUUGCUAGUCACUUUUACCCCUUAAUGAUGUUGAUUUGUUUCUUUAAGGUUUCUUCAAUAUUGUUUACAACCUAAUCAAUCUACAUUGCUAGUCACUUUUACUUUUCCGACAAAGGAUUUGGUGGCUGGUAUCUGAAGUUCCAAGUUCGAAUCCUAGUUGAUUUAUAUUUCCAGCUAAAUUUAUUUCUAAAUGAAAUAAACGAAGCUGGGAGUAUACUACUUAUCUCUAAAAGAAAAAACUUUUACUUUUAUGACUGCUGUCACUUUAAAAUGAUAAUAUU